CCCACGAAGUAUACUUGACCUGUUAUCAUCUGUCUUCAAUUACUAGUUAUUAAAGCCUAAUAACUACAAGCCUGUCUCCGACUCAUCUUGGGGAACGUUACAUUGGUGUCAGAAGUGAACUUUUAGAACAAGGGACGUCUAUCCGGACGAGAGUCGUAACUGCGUCACGGAGCUAGCCGGUAAGCUAGCGGGGAUGGAGAAGUUCAGCAAGAUGGGAGUGAAGCAGGAACACAGUAGUGAUGAAGAGGAAGAUGGAGCAUGCGGGUGGUCGAAGGAAAUGAGAGAGGAGUUCAUGAGUGCACGGGAGGUGAGAGAGCGCCUGAGAGAGUCGGCGGUGAGGAUGGCUAGAGACGCGGGAAUGUCUCCGUCUUCUGCGACAGUUCGCGCCAUUUCCAAGCUGGAGGUAAACAACAAUGGCGGCGCCCAUCAACCCGCAGCAGCCGCCGCCGGGUCAGUGAAAACACCCAAAUUCUCGGGUAAGGCAGACUGGGAGGCUGUCCAAUUUGAACUGCUUGCUCAUGCCGGGAGGUGGUCAGUAGAGACUAAAGCACUACAGCUAGCCUUGUGCCUCACAGAAGAGGCUCUUUCAUGUCUGCUACUACUUAGCCCUGUGGACCGACUCAGCUAUGGAGCGUUAGCGGGGGCUUUGAAGAGGCGGUUUGGACAGUGUUUCCCGCCAGAGCUACUCCGGAACGAGUUGAGUAACCGCUGUAGAGAGUUUGGAGAGACGCUGCGUGCACUGGCUAACAACGUGGAGAGCCUGCCGCCGCGGGCGUAUGCACACAUUCCACCCAGAGUACAGAGUGAGCUGGCACGUGAUCAGUUCAUCAGGGCGAGAUUGUUGCAGCAGAGCAUGGGAACGCCCCGGGGGGCCCUUCCCAUGCUCUGCUGCAACAAUCUCCCGUCGGGGACCCGAUGGAGAGAGUAGCGGUUGAUGUGGUGGGGCCGCUACCCUUGUCGAACAGGGGUAACCGCUACGUUCUCACGGCCAUAGACUACUUCACAAAGUGGACAGAGGCGUAUGCGCUCCCUGACCAAGAAGCAGAGACAGUCGCGGAUGCCUUGGUGUCCGGUAUGUGCACGGGAGGUGAGAGAGCGCCUGAGAGAGUCGGCGGUGAGGAUGGCUAGAGACGCGGGAAUGUCUCCGUCUUCUGCGACAGUUCGCGCCAUUUCCAAGCUGGAGGUAAACAACAAUGGCGGCGCCCAUCAACCCGCAGCAGCCGCCGCCGGGUCAGUGAAAACACCCAAAUUCUCGGGAAUCACUGAAGUGUGACAUCUUUCAACGACAGCAUGAUCGACUAACACACAUCCUGGAGAGGACACCUGUAGACAUCGAAGGGUUAGAGUUUGCGUGCCGUCAGGAUUGUGUUCUAUUAAGUGCUCUGGGUGACAUAGUUGAUGUAGGAGAGAACAUUCUGUCUGCACUUGCAGACCUUAAUAUUCUCAUCCAGCAGGAGAGAGAGAAUGAACAGACAUUUGUAACCCUGGAGACAUUUGUAACCUCUGACAAAUCUUAUAGAACUAGGACUGUCAUCACAUUGCAUUGCCAGACUUCUGGGUGUGUCUAGAGCAGGGGUAGCCAACUCGGUGCCCGCGGGCACUCAGUCGCCCGCAGGGACAACGUGAGGCGCCCGCCGGGCCCGUUCUAAAAAUAGCUCGCCAAGCAAAUCCAAAAUGUAUAAAAUACACAAAACAAAAAAGGAAAUCAAAAGAAUCUACCCCAUGCAUAAACUAAACCUAAAUCAUAGUGAACUCUAUCUAGUUACUACAACUCUAUAUCUAUCUAACACCCCUCCUCCCCCCACCCCCACAAUGAAUAUCGACCAAUCACGUUCUUGCUUGAUUUGCGGGACCAGCGUUGCAGUCGGGAAGAAAAGCAAUGUGGC